GACAGAGGGUGCAAACGUUGUUCGGAAUUACUGGGCGUAAAGCGCGUGUAGGUGGCGAGGCAAGUCGGGUGUGAAAGCCCUGGGCUCAACCCAGGAAGUGCACUCGAUACUGCCUAGCUAGAGUCCCGGAGAGGUUGGUGGAACUCUCGGUGUAGAGGUGAAAUUCGUAGAUAUCGAGAAGAACACCGGUGGCGAAGGCGGCCAACUGGACGGUGACUGACACUGAGACGCGGAAAGCGUGGGGAGCAAACAGG
rnacentral:rRNA from 1 species